GCGCGCCGGUGUAAACAGGAAGUGGGUUGUCGUCUACCCAACGGGCGCCAACUGCAGAGUUGUUUACGUCAAGAGAAUACAACAAACUUCUUCUUCUUCUACUACUACUUCUUGGAACCGACGACGACGAGGUGGAACCGUCACUGACGGAGCCGUAACAAACACCGAGGUAGAGCAGAACUGUUCGGCUGCCAAGGAAACACCAUAUGCUCUGAUUAAUAAUCUCACUCUUGAAAGGAGCAGAAGGGGCCUGGAGCUUCGCGGUCUGCACUUCACAGUCCAAAUGCAAAAGUGGAGCGUCGGGCCUCUCGGAAGUGAAAGACACUCGAGGAUCACAUCCGCAGCUGCCCGUCCCUCCAACGUGGAAACCUGGCUCACGGCGGAUCACUGGUGUGUUCAGUCUUUUACAUUCGUUGAAUAAAUGCACCGUUCACCUCAUACUUUUUGCUUAACUUGAUCUGAGGCAAACGUGAGGUUUCAGAUGUUUCUGCCAGAGUGUAAAUUUGUUCCCCCUAAAAAACACCUUGUCCUUGCUGAUCGCUGAUGGUCAGUGAACAAAAACAACAACGACAGCGUUCUGAACAGAAAACAUCAUUCAAGGUCCAAAAGUGGUCUCCAUGGUAACCAGGAGCAUCAGGGGCUGUGACCCCCAAAUUUGGAGAGCGGCUCUAAAGCUCAUGGAGGUACAACCAGAGGCCGACCGAUAUGGAUUUUUGGAGGCCUGUAUGCCAACAUCGAUAUUACGGAGAAAAAAAACAAUUACGAAACCGAUAUAUUGCCGAAGUGUCAUACCAGCUGAUUUUUGUCCACCAACAGAUACGUCUGAAAAAACAAAGGCGCUAAAACCUCUGAUAUCUCUGUCCAGAAGCUGAUAUGAAUUAGAAUUGGCACCAGCCCAAAACAAAAUCCAGAAUCAGUUGUGGCUCUUGUUUCCAUCCGGCGUUAUCACCAAAACACAUUGUUAUCAGUCUAAAAGCCUUCUGCUUGAGCAACUUGAAAAGCUACAGUCUGACAUUUCCUCUUCAGGGACAUUAAUCGUAGUGUGAUCGCAAUGAAAUGUAAACGAAACGUUCCUGAAACACGACGUGACUGAGGGAAUUCCCUGUCCAUCCAAGUCACUGCAGAGAGAGAGGGAGAGGGAUCCAUGGGAAUGAUGCGGCCCCCCGACCCAACAGCAUCCGUCAUACAGUAUUAGAGGCGAAUCCAUAAUGUAUGAUGCCAGUUUGAUUGGAGAGCCACGGGCCAGCGGUGAAUUAGAGCAUGCAUAAAGUGCACAGCGGGGGGACGAGUGACAGGCACCACAAGCUGCGUGCAGUCCGCAUCUAAAUGUUUGAAAUCCUUCAAAGUCGAUUUGAAGGAUUUUUUUGCCGGUGAACCUUUCUGCGGGAGAAUAUUAUUUUCAGUUAUUCUCAGGAAUAACUGGGGGGGGUGGGGGGGAGUCUGGCUGAGUGACCUCACACUUAAACACACUGUUGCCACCAAACAAGUCGAUUUCACAUCCGUCAUGGCUGCACAGACCUGUUCUGUUCCCCACACACACUCAUGGUCAAAAACUUGACGGAGUAUACGUCCUGCCAUUCUGUUUGUGGAAACGUCCUCAUCCUAUUUGUUUGCAUUAUCCUGUAUAUAUAUAUUGUGCUGCACGUUUAGUGUGUAAAAAAACCGCUCUGAUGAGGCUGCAGCCAUUUCCAGCUCGCGAUGCACUGAACAGUUAAUAAUCUCAAGGAUUGAAGGGAACAUUACUAAUCUGAUUUCAUUUUUCUUUUUUAAAAAAAAAAUUACAUUCAAAGGAGAAAACAUAACAUGAAAUAUAAUAUAUCUUCAUUUUUUUCUCUUUUUUUUGUCUAUUGUUCAGUGACUUACGGUAAAUUGUGUUUCCUUAUGCAAUGCAAUGUUGGAAAAAUGAAUAUAAAAAGUGUGUAUUAUGUUGUUGGUAUUGGUGUGUUUGUGUGUGUGUGUGUGUGUAUACCGUAUAUAUGAAUAUAUAUAUAUGCUGAUCCAACUUAUAUACACCAGUUAUUUACUGUGAGGAAAACUAAUAUCAGCUAUAAUAUAUUUGAUUAGUUCCAUUGGGGCUGAUGAAUAUAUAAUCCACACAAACGUAAUAUACCACAAAAAAAGGCCUAAAGAAAUAACAGCAUGGAUUUCCUUAAAUAUUAUUAGACUGUAAAUGCAACCAUCUUUCAUGAGUUCAGAUUGAAAUGUGCAGGUAGUAGAGGAAUGGCGGGAUUUAUCAUAUACACACUAACACAGCUUAGAAAAUCAAAUGCUCUAUGCACGUUUCUCUUACAUAAUUAUUUUAAAGCUACAUAUUCAACCUGUACCAGUAAAGUCA